GUUGCCCUAGUGGUUGAGACGUCAGGCUGAUAACGUGGGUGUUAUGGGUUCGAGCCC
rnacentral:tRNA from 1 species